CAAGUCGAGUGCGCGGUUGUAGCAAUACAACUGGCGCACGGCGCACGGGUGCGUAACACGUGGGUAACCUGCCCUUUGGUGGGGAAUAACUCCGCGAAAGCGGAGCUAAUUCCGCAUAAGAUCCGCAAGGAUGAAAGCAGCAAUGCGCCGAAGGAGGGGCCCGCGCCCGAUUAGCUAGUUGGUGAGGUAAUGGCUCACCAAGGCUUUGAUCGGUAGCUGGUCUGAGAGGAUGAUCAGCCACACUGGAACUGAGACACGGUCCAGACUCCUACGGGAGGCAGCAGUGGGGAAUCUUGCACAAUGGGCGAAAGCCUGAUGCAGCGACGCCGCGUGGGGGAUGAAGCAUUUCGGUGUGUAAACCCCUUUCGAUCCGGACGAAACCCCGCAAGGGAUUGACGGUACGGAUAUAAGAAGCCCCGGCUAACUACGUGCCAGCAGCCGCGGUAAGACGUAGGGGGCCAGCGUUGUUCGGAAUUACUGGGUGUAAAGGGUUCGUAGGCGGCGCGGCAAGUUGGGAGUGAAAUCUCUGGGCUUAACCCAGAGGCUGCUUCCAAAACUGCUGUGCUUGAGUGUGGGAGAGGCGCGUGGAAUUGCAGGUGUAGCGGUGAAAUGCGUAGAUAUCUGCAGGAACACCCGUGGCGAAAGCGGCGCGCUGGACCACUACUGACGCUGAGGAACGAAAGCUAGGGGAGCAAACAGGAUUAGAUACCCUGGUAGUCCUAGCCCUAAACGAUCAGGACUUGGGGUGCCACCCGUUCGGGUGUCGUCCCGGAGCUAACGCGUUAAGUCCUGCACCUGGGGAGUACGGUCGCAAGACUGAAACUCAAAGGAAUUGACGGGGGCCC
rnacentral:rRNA from 1 species